CCUGGUCCUGCUGGCCUCGCAUUUUGUGCGUUUCACGGACGGCGUAAAAGAAGUUCAUUGAUUGCACAGCAGUCGAUUCGCUGACCGGUCGGGGUGGUCCUCAUCCACGGCGUCCACGUUACGUGCUCUGCGGUUUGCCGUCUCCUGCUGGCCUAACAGUUCGUGCGUUUCACGGCCGUCCUCGUCCACGUUACGUGCUCUGCGGUUUUCCGUCUCCUGCUGGCCUCGCAUUUUGUGCGUUUCACGGACGGCGUAAAAGAAGUUCAUUGAUUGCACAGCAGUCGAUUCGCUGACCGGUCUGGGUGCUCUGCGGUUUGCCGUCUCCUGCUGGCCUAACAGUUCGUGUACCUUUCGACUUUGGACAUCCAGUUGGUUCGAUACGAUCACCGUUGAAGAAAUGGAAUUUCUCACAGAAACCCUUGAUCCGGAGUCGCUUAACAUUCUCAACGGUAAGUUGGAUUUUAUGUAUGAUUUGUGAAUGUUUUUUGUAUGUAUGUGAACAUUAAUAUCAUCAACUGGGGUGAAUUGUGACGAAAACUUUAAUGUAAACGGAUGUAUAGUCGUUACUGUUUUAACUAUAUUC